rnacentral:rRNA from 1 species
UUGCCAUCGGAUGUGCCCAGAUGGGAUUAGCUAGUAGGUGGGGUAACGGCUCACCUAGGCGACGAUCCCUAGCUGGUCUGAGAGGAUGACCAGCCACACUGGAACUGAGACACGGUCCAGACUCCUACGGGAGGCAGCAGUGGGGAAUAUUGCACAAUGGGCGCAAGCCUGAUGCAGCCAUGCCGCGUGUAUGAAGAAGGCCUUCGGGUUGUAAAGUACUUUCAGCGGGGAGGAAGGGAGUAAAGUUAAUACCUUUGCUCAUUGACGUUACCCGCAGAAGAAGCACCGGCUAACUCCGUGCCAGCAGCCGCGGUAAUACGGAGGGUGCAAGCGUUAAUCGGAAUUACUGGGCGUAAAGCGCACGCAGGCGGUUUGUUAAGUCAGAUGUGAAAUCCCCGGGCUCAACCUGGGAACUGCAUCUGAUACUGGCAAGCUUGAGUCUCGUAGAGGGGGGUAGAAUUCCAGGUGUAGCGGUGAAAUGCGUAGAGAUCUGGAGGAAUACCGGUGGCGAAGGCGGCCCCCUGGACGAAGACUGACGCUCAGGUGCGAAAGCGUGGGGAGCAAACAGGAUU